UGCAAGUCGAGCGAGAAAGGGCUUCGGCCCCAGUACAGCGGCGCACGGGUGAGUAACACGUAGGUCAUCAACCCUCGAGUGGUGGAUAACUCUCCGAAAGGAGAGCUAAUACAGCAUGAUGCCAGCAAUGGCCAAAGCGGGCCUCUCCAUGGAAGCUCGCGCUAGAGGAUGAGCCUGCGGCCCAUCAGGUAGUUGGCGGAGUAAUAGCCCACCAAGCCAUAGACGGGUAGCUGGUCUGAGAGGAUGAACAGCCACACUGGAACUGAGACACGGUCCAGACUCCUACGGGAGGCAGCAGUCGGGAAUCUUCCGCAAUGGGCGAAAGCCUGACGGAGCGACGCCGCGUGAGCGAUGAAGGCCUUCGGGUUGUAAAGCUCUGUGGGGAGGGAAGAAUAAGUUCAGGCGAAUACCCUGAAUGAUGACGGUACCUCCUUAGCAAGCACCGGCUAACUCUGUGCCAGCAGCCGCGGUAAGACAGAGGGUGCAAACGUUGUUCGGAUUUACUGGGCGUAAAGCGCGUGUAGGCGGCUUGGCAAGUUGAAUGUGAAAGCCCACGGCUCAACCGUGGAAGCGCAUCCAAAACUGCUUCGCUCGAGUCUCGGAGAGGAAGGUGGAAUGCUUGGUGUAGAGGUGAAAUUCGUAGAUAUCAAGCAGAACACCUGCGGCGAANGCGGCCUUCUGGACGAUGACUGACGCUGAGACGCGAAAGCGUGGGGAGCAAACAGGAUUAGAUACCCUGGUAGUCCCACGCCGUAAACGAUGAGUGCUAGGUGUCACGGGCUUUGACCCUCGUGGUGCCGUAGCUAACGCAAUAAGCACUCCGCCUGGG
rnacentral:rRNA from 1 species